rnacentral:rRNA from 1 species
AUUGAACGCUGGCGGCAUGCCUAACACAUGCAAGUCGAACGGAAGAACGGCUUUUGCUCUUGGAUUCAGCGGCGGACGGGUGAGUAAUGCCUAUGAACCUGCCUUGUAGUGGGGGAUAACUUCCGGAAACGGGGGCUAAUACCGCAUACGACCUGAGGGAGAAAGUGGGGGAUCUUCGGACCUCACGCUAUUAGAUGAGCCUAGGUCGGAUUAGCUAGUUGGUGGGGUAAAGGCCUACCAAGGCGACGAUCCGUAACUGGUCUGAGAGGAUGAUCAGUCACACUGGAACUGAGACACGGUCCAGACUCCUACGGGAGGCAGCAGUGGGGAAUAUUGGAAAAUGGGCGAAAGACUGAUCCAGCCAUGCCGCGUGUGUGAAGAAGGUCUUCGGAUUGUAAAGCACUUUUAGUGGGGAAGAAGGGCAGUAAGUUAAUACCUUGCUGUGUUGACGGUACCAGCAGAAUAAGCACCGGCUAACUACGUG